rnacentral:rRNA from 1 species
UACGUAGGGUGCGAGCGUUGUCCGGAAUUAUUGGGCGUAAAGAGCUCGUAGGCGGUGUGUCACGUCGGCCGUGAAAACCCGCAGCUCAACUGUGGGCUUGCAGCUGAUACGGGCGGGCUUGGAUUCGGUAGGGGAGACUGGAAUUCCUGGUGUAGCGGUGAAAUGCGCAGAUAUCAGGAGGAACACCGGUGGCGAAGGCGGGUCUCUGGGCCGAUAUCGACGCUGAGGAGCGAAAGCGUGGGGAGCGAACAGG